rnacentral:piRNA from 1 species
UGAAAUUUCGUUUCUGUGAGGGGACUUUAAAU